GUUGGAGAACUUGAUGUCGCACGGGAUGGGUAACAUCUUAAGUGACGGCCGGUUGUUCUCGGUGCCGGCCUGGUAGACGAAGUAGUGGCAGCUCUUAGCGUCGCGGCUGUCGUCCUGACGGAGGAUGGGGAUGCGGAGCAGGACGAGGUCGUCCUUCGAGUAGAUGACCUUGGGCAACCAGUCGAACGCGGAGGGCUUCACGUCGGGGGAAUGGACAGUGAAGCAGGAGACCCGCGGCGGGCUGGCCGCCCAGAAGGUGACCUGGAUUCUCUUGCCGUCCGCCGUGAAGCCAUCGGCGGUAGUGCCGUUGAGGCGACAGCUGAGGUAGCCGUAUCGGUCGAGGAGGAUCGACUCAGGAGGAGGAGAACCCGGAUCCUCGGUGUGGAUAAGCGGAGGGAUCCUGAGGAACGGAUUGACGGACGAGUCGGCCAUGGGAAGAUCUGGUGUGUGGGCGGAGCGGGGAGAGUCGACGCGGAGGUGAGGGGAUCGGAUCUGAGCGGCGGCUUGGCUGCCGAAAGGUACCGAUGAUUUGUGUAGGUAGAUCGUUGGCCGUAGAUGGUCUGGAGCAGGUUGCCUCCCUCCCUCUUUCAAAAAUCCCCUCUGACGUGCUGACCUCACAUUGAGCCUAGUUCUGAGAGCAAUUUUCAUGCCCAGCUUACAGAAAAGAUCCGUAUGCUAAUGCAAUCUCAUGGUUAUCUGGAUGCAUUGACUUGAAUUGGCACUACAUGAUUUCUCUGAUCUCAGUUUAUCUCGCUGAGACACCAAGAGCUGCUGCGCCUGUAAAUUGGUACUUGCCAAGAUCAUUCUAGUCAUCAAUUAAAAAUAGAUAAAUCUAGGCAUAGUUUCUAAUUGUAGUAUGCUCAUGUUUUAUGCCAUUCUAGUAUCUAUCCAAAUAAAAAUUCUUUUAGUUGGCAUAUUAUCCAUAUUGAUUAUUCCACAAUGUAGAUCAGUCCUUUUCGACAAGGUUUAUUUGUUGGAUAAGAGAUACCUAUUCAGAUAACUAGAGAUUUGUUUCCUUCUUUUCUCUUAUAAAUGAUUUGAUGAAUUUUAUACUUUUAAUUGUGAAUAUGACUAGAUGAGUUCAAUUAAAAAUUCAGAUGAGCGAUUUGGUUUUGGUUCAGUGAUGUAAAUUUUCAGAUGUGCAUGCUCCUUACUGCCUGAUAUACAUUCAUCUGAGAGAUGCUGAUAUGAUUUGCCAAUCCGAAUUUGGUGCUAGGUGCAGGUUUUGGUUUGAUCCCUUGAUAUGAGUUAAUAAAUUCAGAUCAGUAUACUUUGUUAAUCAUUCCAGAUGUUCUGAAGCUUUGGACUUAGAAACAUUGCAUACGAAACUACUUUGCCUUGUCAAUAUGCCUCUUUCUAUCCGAAAUGCUUAUGGUAGGCCCGAUUGGCUUCUUUUUUAGUCCCUGACGUUGUGUGAUGCUGUCUCUACAGGGUUGACGGGAUGGCUUCUACUACCAAGGCCCAUGCUUCAUGACUAGCUGGAGUUGACGAGCAGAAGGCCAACAGUGUUACGUGAAUUACGCAACUCCUGCUGGCUCCGACCCAAACAUAGCCUUUUGGAUCAUCUUUUGUGCAGGUGUUGAGCACCAGGACCAUCUAGCUAAACUUCCAUGUGCUGCGAUUAGGUUCCUGCCUGGAUUUGGUUAUAUUACCCAUUUUCACCAUUCUAUUCUUCAACUCCGUUCAUUUUAUUUUAGCUCUUCCAUGAGAUGAGAUGGGUCUUGCAAACGUCUUUCUUAUUGAUAUUAUAUGCAUAUUUUUUUAAAACUGAUUACUAGUUAAAGUUAUGUAGUAAAGGGUGGAUCAAAGUGCCACUUCCAUAGUUGUUACAUGAACUAGUCGUUGGUUAGGUUUCUGAAAUCAUGUCAGUAUCUGCUCUUCUUAAAUUGCAUGUAUUGAAUUUUAGGCAUGCGAUUCUAUAUUGUUAUAUAUAUCUAUGUAGUAGCUGAUAUUACAGAUUUAAGGUUCCUUAUUGUUACAUUUUAAAUGGUCUGCUUAGGUCACCUUGCAGUGAGAUGGCAUCCAGUAAUCUCUGUUGCUUUGUUCAAAUUUGAUGGCACUACUCUUAAUACCGAGUCCCUCAAUAGUGUCAGCAUGAUUGCAUAGCUGGAAUGGUGGCUAAAUUAAACAUUGGGCUCAGUUCAAUUGUCAUUUUAGAGCACCCUCUGCACUGCUCUUGAGCUCCAGGACCAUCUUCUUGCGAAACUUCAAUGACCUUAGGUUAGGUUCCUGCAUGCAGCUUUGAUUUGGUUUUCUAUUGUUGCCAGUCUGUUGUUCUUCAGUUCCCAUUCAUUUUGUUAUGGCUUUUCCAUGAGAUGGAUCCUGCAAACUGCUAUCUGCUUUGCAUAUAAUUGCAAUAUAAGCUAUUUCCAUUCACAUGCGUCAUCAUUUGUGAAUAGAAAAGUAUAUGCCACAAUGCAUAGGUUGUUAGCUCUUGUGUUCCAGCAUAGUAUUAUUUGUGCUCAAGCUAAUUUUGAUGCAAAUAACUGAGGUUUCUAUGGUGCAAUACACCUAGGAAUAUAUAGCAGGGAUUGAGAAAACCUACCAUUCAAAAUUCCAUUCACCUCGUACAUAUGUUUAGCCUAGUCUUUGUGCAGGAUAAGCUCAAGAUCUAAUCACAUAUGAUCAACAUAGUAUUACAGGACAUCUUAUGUUCAUUCGUACUACAAGUGCAACACAAAUCAAGCAUCAUGGAGAGUCUUCCAUUAAGUUAUAUAAAAAGAACAGUCAGUAGAUGGAUAGGAGAAAAGCUUCUAGCCCCAAAUGAUUUUAGAACAAACCCUGCUAAACCUAAUGUCUAUUGCCUAUUAUCCUGCCACUAGUAGGGAUCUUGAAGCUAAGCAGCAAGAAACCUGCAUAAUCACUAAUUAAGAAUAAUCACAUUCAAACAUAGAAGCUAGAUUGCUAUGCUAUCCUAUCCUCAGUUACCUCCGAUGGCACAAACGCCAUGAACCUUGUCAUAGGAGUGGGAUUAUAGGGGGCUAAAUCCAUCAGCCCUCUUUUCGCCAUCAUAUUCCUGCAUUCACCAUGAGUGAUGGAACCAAAUUGUGCAUUAACCUGCCAUGUCAAAGAAUGCAUGAUAACCUCAAGGUCAAUGUAGAUUGAUAUGAUUUUUUUUCAUUACAAGAAAGGGACUGGUUAUCUGCACAUCUCAAGAAAGAACAGACACACAUCAAUCCAUUUUUCCAUCCAUUUUUCGAGGAUGCAUAUGUACCAUAGGAGCACGAACAUAAUACAGUAACAGAUAAAUAGGUACAGAACCUCAAGAGUAAACUGCAAUUCAGGAAUCAUGGCACAUAUCAGAUUAUUAAGACAUGUUAUAGUCCGACCUCAAGUUCUAGCCUAAAUCAUGUAAAUCUUCUAGAAAGAGAAUGUCCCCACUACACUUGCCGAGUAUAAUUUAACAAGCAAAAUGGAAGAAAAGAAAAGCAUCCCCAUUGCAUUUUUGAGAUAAUGACCUCACAAAUGUUCCCUCUUUGUGACUUCCAUUCACAGUUAGAGAGAAAAUAAUUUCAGUAAGCAACUUAAAAUAAUGUGAACAUUUUUUCAUGAGGGGGAUAGCACACUGAAAAACGAACACCAUCUCUUGGCUGAUGCACAAGCUUGAAACGUGAUUCUAGAUGUGUCUUUGCAGGUGUACAAUUCUCAAAAUAUAUUAAGUUAUGAUCACAACUGUAGAUCAAGAUAAGGCUAUUUUAGCUAGAGGCAUCACCAUCCAUGCAUCUUGAGUUGGCAUAUUCUUAUUAAAAUGUAUGUACAUAUAUUUUUGCUCUUAAAUGCCAACUGCAAUAAUGUUCAUAUAUCAAGCUGGACAGAAACACGGUAGUCGGCGCAGGAUAGAUAGCACAAUGGAAGCAGAGGCGGGCUUCAUUGGCUGUUGGCCCUGCUUAGCAGAGGCGGGGAGGUUUUGGGCUAAAAAGGCUUGAGGAAGAGAAGUGGUGGCCCUAUGCUGGGGUGUUCUGGGCUGGAUUCAAGAUAUUGGAAAAGAGGGAAGGAGAAGGUAUGCUAGGAUAGAGAGGCAUUCGAUCCAUAAAUGGCAUUAUUUCUGACCUAGCUUGUCAGUCAUAAAUAGUCAUGGCUUUUAUGACUCAGCUAAAGGAGGCCCGGCAGCUGCUUGCUACUAUCUACUCAUUGGGCGUCCUAUCAUCGGACACUAGUGGGAGCGUUGAACUGCUCAUUCCCCUUCCCCUGUUCAUCUUUGUCGCAGCUUGAUCCUAAGAUUUGAACUUCAUAUAUAUGUGCGGUUCAAUGGAGAAUUCGUUUGGAGAUACAAGUGAUACAACCUACAUGUGCACUUAUGUUUUCCUUGAACCAUGUACAUUUAACCGUGAAAUGUGUUGAAAUGCCUUUUGGAUCAAACCUUCUUUGACAUUUUGUCAUUUUUUUGCUUGAAUCUCCUUUAUGUGGCAGAAUAGCCCAUUGCCAGCAGGUUUUGGGAGCAUUUUGGAAAAUUUUGCUAGUGCACGAAAAACGAUGCAAAAUGGGUGCAUUUCGGUAACCAAAUGCUCUAUUUCGAGGUAGCGUACUUCCGACGGAUUUUUUUCCCUACGAAUACAUCCAAUCUACCCCAUUAAACCCUAGAUGAUGUUUGGGAGCAUUUUAGAGUAUUUCGCUAGUGCACGAAAAAGAUGCGAAACGGGUGCAUUUCGAUACCCAAAUGCACUGUUUCGACUGAUUAUUCGCUAUGAACACAUCCAAUCUACUCCAUUAGACCCUAGAUGAUGUUUGGGAGCAUUGCGCUGCAAAAAAAAGAUGCGAAACGGAUGCGUUUCAGUACCCGAAUGCACUGUUUCGGGAUAUCGAACUUCCGACGGAUUUUUUCGCUACGAACGCAUCCAAUCUACUCCAUUAGACCCUAGAUUAUAUUUGGGAGCAUUUUGGAAUAUUUCGAUAGUGCAGAAAAACGAUGCGAAAUGGGUGCGUUUCGGUACCCGUAUGCACCAUUUGUAGCGAACUUUUGAUGGAUUUUUUUUUGCUACAAACGCAUCCAAUCUACUCCAUUAGACCCUAGAUUAUAUUUGGGAGCAUUUUGGAACAUUUCGAUAGUGCAGAAAAACGAUGCGAAAUGGGUGUGUUUAGUACACGUAUGCUUUGUUUCGGGGUAGCGAACUUUUGAUGGAUUUUUUCGCUACGAACGCAUCCAAACUACUCCAUUAGACCCUAGAUGAUUUUUGGGAGCAUUUUGGAACAUUUCGCUAGUGCACGAAAAAUGAUGCGAAAUGGGUGCGUUUCGGUACCGAAUGCACUGUUUUGGGGUAGCGAACUUCUGACGGAUUUUUUCGCUAGGAACGCAUGCAAUCUACUCCAUUAGACCCUAGAUGAUGUUUGGGAGUAUUUUGGAGCAUUUAGUUAGUGCACGAAAAAUGAUGCAAAACAGUGCAUUUCAGUACAACUAUGGAAAUGUUGCGAAAAAUUGUUAUAAGGAUAUGGAAAUGUUUUGAAAAUGAUAUUUCAAAUAAUAUACUAGUUACAACUAUUAAAUGAGGCACCAUCACAAUGGUCAUGAAAUAAAAUGUAAAAUAUCAAAACUUGGCAUGUCUGUUUGCUUGAAAAUGGAACGAAGGAGUGGCACGCUGGAGGCGUGCCUCAGACUCUAGUAGUAUAAGUUCUGAACUGAGAUGGAAAAAAGGCACGCCGAAUGGGCGUCUCAAGCUCUAGUUGGCAGAAUAGGGCCACAUCAUCACUACAGCCUCAAGCCCUAAAAGGCUCAAAGAAAGAUGCUCACCAACCAGAUAGCAAAAUCAUAAGAGGAGGUUGGUAGCCAUAUAACCAAAGAGACACGGCAACUAGAUAAUGAAAACACGAGUUCCUCAGGGAUGAGGCUAAAGGAGGUCGGCAGCCACAUAGCCAAAGAGGCACUAGGGUAUUUGGUUACUCGUAUCAUUUAAGUUCGUAUAAAGAUAAAUACUGUUCCUUUUAUUUGGUUGGAUUAAAGGUGUAUUUGGUUACAUGCACCACAUGAUUAAAUGCAUGGAUGAUCCUAGAUGGUGGGUUCAACCAAUUUGUUUGCAUCAUAUGGUUCGCUAUUAUUAGUAAAAUAAUGUAUCAAGUGGGAUGGCUUCAUCAUGACCGGGGACCGGGAUGGUACAAUUCAUCUAACCAAACAAAAGAAUCAUUAUUAUUUUGAACCAUUUCAUACAUGAAUCAAAUAAUACAAAUGAUACAAAGCAACAAAACACACCCCGAUUGUACCAACUCAUCCCGGAUGCCCACUUUAGUACAAUUACAGGUGUGAACUCUAUGAUACAAACUAGUUGAAUUACACCAUGCAGAUAUCCAUACAUCAUGCAGAGAGGUCAGCAGCACUCCUAGGACCCUCGGAAGAUGCUUAGAUAUUGUUGACAAUGGCCAUUCAUCCAUAAAUAAGUAAUGAAAUAUGUGUUUAAAAAAAUGCAUUCAUCCAUAAAUAACAGCCCUCACACGGCUAGCAUGCCACAUAGUCCUCGAUGACUAACAAAUAUAGUCCGCAAACAUAGCUGACACGAUGCAAGCUAAUGUAAUACAGGUCCAUCAAUAAUGCAACACCUCAUAGACAUCACACCACGGGUGAGGUGUGAAGGGCUUUGUUUCAACUUGCACACCAAUUUAGUGAUCACCAUGCUAAGUAGUACCCUUUGUGCUUUGCUUCCAAGUUUAGACUUAGGUUGCGGUUGGCUGCGGUUCAGCGUUCACCUCUAGAACUUCUAGCUUGCAUGGCCCCAGACAUCCAUCCCUACUUGUUUCACCAGCAUUCCUCCCAGAUCUGUUUCAUGUACAAGAGUGCAUCUUAGUUAAAAAAUCCCUUGGUUUGAAAACAAUAAUUAUAGAUGAUAAGAAAAAGCAAGAAUUCUAUAGUAAACAUGUCUAUGUACUAACAGAAACCUAAACAGCAAAAGCAAAGAUUACAUAGCAAGCAUGUUCAUGUACCAAAAGAAAAUAUUGCUUCAUUGGUGCAAAUUUUUGCAUCAUUUUGGCAAUAAUGACCAAGAAAUUCUGUUCAGUAAGGGUGAGGCACACCAUAUGGCCUGCAACAUGCAACGUGUGCUUGAAUUAUGGAAAUGAGACAAUUGCGCACUGGUGUGUUAACAUUUUCCCCUCAAAGAAGUUAACUAUAAAGAUUAUUUGGCUCCUUAGAUGGUAUGAAAAAUCACAAGGUUAGGCAACUAGUAAUACAGAUAGUGCUUACUGUGUUCAAUUCAAGUCAUAUUGGUUCUGAUAAAAAUUAAUAAAUCUUAAGAGAAAAGGAAAAAUAUGUAGCAGGCAGGGGUGGAGCUGCACGGGGUGCUGGGGGUGCUGCAGCACCCCCUCAGGUCAUGCUAGUCCAUUUAAUAUUAACUGUUUUAUCUUAAAACUUUGAACAUAAAACAUGAACUUAGUUCAAUUAUAGAGUCUCAGCACCCCCUUUGAGCUGAUUCUGGCUCCACCCCUGGUAGCAGGCAUGUGCACAUUCCAGAAGCAAGCAUUGUUUUAGUGUUGCACAUUUAGCACCAUUUUAACCAUGACCAAUAAGGGCGAGUUACACAAUAUGGCAUGCAAGGUGGAACACAUGAAAGAUGAAUCCUGGCUAUGAGAUAGGAUAAUAGAUAUUUGGUAGCCAUGAACAAACUGCUAAACCAUAUGAUCUUUCAGGCACAGCACACUAUAAGCAGAAACUUCUGGGAGAAGGGUUUUACUAGACAUGAUAGGGAACAAUGCAGUACAGUUGAGACAGACUUCUUUAAAUGUUGAAAUGAAGCGAUCCCUUAUACUUCAUCAAAAAGAAGCUCCAGAAUGUAGAUGUAGUGGCGGGGGAGGUAUAAGUGCUAAUUUUGCGGAUGGAAAUGUAAAAGAUAGUACGAUUUAUCAAUGCAGGUACAAUAUUAACAAUCGAGAGACAAAUAGUUAAUUGAAUAACAAUAAACCAGACAGAUCUAAAGAACACUAGGACUAGGAGCACUGCUAUGAAUAAAUAAUGACUAAUAAUGAAGACCGGAAGCAAAAUGAGCGUUAUUACACAGUAUACCAUGAUGUUAGUAGUAUAACAUAAUUAAAACAAAUGCUCCUGCCAGAUAACAAAUGGAUACCGCAGCUUCAGAAUGAAAGAACCUACUCGUGCUGCUGGUACAUUUUAGUUUUAGUUUAUAUGUACUAUGUUGGUCCAAAACAGAGAAUGCAAAAAAAAAUUACCUGGAGGAGGACCAAAUGUUCAGAUGCUUGGAGAUCCCACUUUUAAGGUAGGUGAAAGUGUAACCCAGAGGCCUUCCAGAGCCAAAAUCAGCCACAUCUUUUAGAGUCUUUUUUCUCAUAUCAAGUGCAAUCACCAAUGCCUUGUCCUCAUCGGGAUCAGGUGUGUGCAUGAUGUAAACAACAUCAGCGUCAUGCAAGCUCAGAGCAGGGUAACCCGCACAAAGUCUCAUCAAGGUUAGCUUUGUAUUUUUAACCUGUUUCAGAUUAGGCAGCAUCAGCAUUCGAGCAAACUUGGGGCUGUCCACUGGGAUGUCAGAAAAUUUGAAAGUGCAGUCCUCUUCCCAGUUGUUCCCAGAACCAAUAUCUGAAAUUUUCAUUUUCUUUGUUGCAGCCACCAAAUCUUGAGUUGCAGACGUGAGUCCAGAGCCUGGUCUGACGUCGUAGCUCAUCUCGAAAUACUUGAUGCAAUCUCCAACCACAACAAUGUCCCGGAAAUACAUCGGAUAACCCUUGAGCAGCUUGGGCACCAGUGGCAAUGGUAAUGGAAUAUAGCGAAGACUGUGGUUGUCCCGGAGAAGGUCACAGAUAAGCAUGCCCCGCCAGAGAUCGACCCAGCCCACUGAACCGAACUCACCUCCGAUGGUGACCGCAAUGUUUGGAUAUGAAUAAUUCAAAUAAUUCACUGAAUCAACAAACUGAUUCUCAGUGUUCCAUGUACCUGUCUUGGAGUUGUACAGGUGGAGAUCAAAUCGCUUGCCGUUGUUCUUAGGAUCGAUGAUCCUAUGAAGCAGGGCGAAGUAGAACAUAUCUUGGUCGCGGCAACGCAACAGCACAAGCUCGUCGUAGGAGAACGUGAAGUCGCACGGGAUGGGUAACAUCGUAAGUGACGGCCGGUUGUUCUCGGUGCCGGCCUGGUAGACGAAGUAGUGGCAGCUCUCAGCGUCGAGGCUGUCGUCCUGACGGAGGAUGGGGAUGCGGAGCAGGACGAGGUCGUCCUUCGAGUAGAUGACCGUGGGCAACCAGUCGAACGCGGAGGGCUUCACGUCGGGGCAAUGGACAGUGAAGCAGGAGACCCGCGGCGGGCUGGCCGCCCAGAAGGUGACCUGGAUUCUCUUGCCGUCCGCCGUGAAGCCAUCGGCGGUAGUGCCGUUGAGGCGACAGCUGAGGUAGCCGUAUCGGUCGAGGAGGAUCGACUCAGGAGGAGGAGAACCCGGAUCCUCGGUGUGGAUAAGCGGAGGGACCCUGAGGAACGGAAGGAGGGACGAGCGGGCCAUGGGAAGAUCUGGUGUGUGGGCGGAGCGGGGAGGUGAGGAGGGGAUAGAAACCCUAACGCCGAGUGAUGCCUCUGCUAGGCUCGCUGCCAAUGUUUCGCCAUACACCGCGUCAGGCCCACCCCGCCGCUUCGCUCUUUGUGGGAUAGGUGGGCUUCAUGGGCUGUUGGCCCGGCUUAGCUGAGGCGGGGAGGUUUUGGGCUAAAAAGCCCCGAGGGAAGAGAAGUGGUGGCCCCAUGCUGGGGUUUACUUGAAUGCCGGUUUGCUCUGUUCUUCCAAAGUCUGACCAAACUGAAUCGGCUCCUGUUUUCGACAAACUGAAUGGAAGCGAAUGGACGGACGACAUGCAUAUUACACGUCCAUGGCACAAACAAUUCGCGCAGGCUAAACGUUCACUCUACGAACGGUGCUAUUAUCUUUCACAACGCAAGGGGGUUGAAAUUUAGCAAGCAGUUCAACAAUCAACAGUAGGGCCCUAAUUAAAACCCCCGGGUGGCUCAGGACUAGCGCGCAUCACGAUGAUAAUUCAAUCAUAUCUCCUGCGUCCCCAAGUUCGACACGGGGCAAGAGAAGGAUAAUACCAGUAUGGCUCAGCCACAUCCCAUCUGUUGUUGUCAAAUAAAAUGUAACCGAAUUAUUUAUGUGAAACAAACGAAAGAAAAUAGUAUUGGCAUGUGUCAAAGAAUACCCACCUAUUUGGAUUAACGUCAGCAGCAAAACACCUACGAACAAAAAUAAAAAAACUUGACAUCCAAAUAAUCCAACUACUUAUUUAACUUCUUCAUUCCAAACUAAUAUGCAUGCUAAUUUUGCUAUGUAUAUGUGUGUGUAUAUAUAAUAUGGUACCGUACGGAACAGCCGUACCCGAGCCCAUCCGCCGGACCAGGCUCGCUCGCAUCCCGCCGGUUUUUGUUUCACCCCACCUCCUCCGGGUUUUUUUUCGACUUUUUCCUCCGAACGUGGGUGAUUCGUCGUGGCAGUUCAGUUUCCCGUCGCGCCUCCCACCUUCCGAUCCAGGUUGACUGCAACGGAAUCGCAUUUGUGGAGUUCUUCCUCGGUCACGAUAGCUUCCUAAUACCCCCCUUCACCUUGAUUUCUACGGAUUAAUGAGAUCUCAUUCUCCCCCAUCGCAAGGUGCCCUCUAUUCUUCUCCCGUGUGUUUUCAGUUGAUUUUGAUUGAUUUCCCACUAAGGUACCAAUGAUUUGUGCAGGUAGAUCGUUGGCCGUAGAUGGUCUGGAGCAGGUUGCCUCCCUCCCUCUUUCGAAAAUCCCUCUGACCUGCUGACCUCGUUCAGACAUUGAGCCUAGUUCUGAGAGCAAUUUUCAUGCCCAGCUUACAGACAAGAUCCAUGUGCUAAUGCAAUCUCAUGGUUAUCUGGAUGCAUUGACUUGAAUUGGCACUACAUGAUUUCUCUUAUCUCAGUUUAUCUCGCUGAGACACCAAGAGCUGCUGCGCCUGUAAAUUGGUUCUUGCCAAGAUCAUUCUAGUCAUCAAUUAAAAAUAAAUAAAUCUAGGCAUAGUUUCUAAUUGUAGUAUGCUCAUGUUUUAUGCCAUUCUAGUAUCUAUCCAAAUAAAAAUUCUUUUAGUUGGCAUAUUAUCCAUGUUGAUUAUUCCACAAUGUAGAUCAGUCCUUUUCGACAAGGUUUAUUUGUUGGAUAAGAGAUACCUAUUCAGAUAACUAGAGAUUUGUUUCCUUCUUUUCUCUUAUAAAUGAUUUGAUGAGCUUUAUACUUUUAUUUGUGAAUAUGACUAGAUGAGUUCCAAUUAAAAAUUCAGAUGAGCGAUUUGGUUUUGGUUCAGUGAUGUAAAUUUUCAGAUGUGCAUGCUUCUUACUGCCUGAUAUACAUUCAUCUGAGAGAUGCUGAUAUGAUUUGCCAAUCCGAAUUUGGUGCUAGGUGCAGGUUUUGGUUUGAUCCCUUGAUAUGAGUUAAUAAAUUCAGAUCAGUAUACUUUGUUAAUCAUUCCAGAUGUUCUGAAGCUUUGAACUUAGAAACAUUGCAUACGAAACUACUUUGCCUUGUCAAUAUGCCUCUUUCUAUCCGAAAUGCUUAUGGUAGGUCCGAUUGGCUUCUUUUUUAGUCCCUGACGUUGUGUGAUGUUGUCUCUACAGGGUUGACGGGAUGGCUUCUACUACCAAGGCCCAUGCUUCAUGACAAGCUGGAGUUGACGAGCAGAAGGCCAACAGUGUUACGUGAAUUACCCAACUCCGGCUGGCUCCGACCCAAACAUAGCCUUUUGGAGCAUCUUUUGUGCAGGUGUUGAGCACCAGGACCAUCUAGCUAAACUUCCAUGUGCUGCGAUUAGGUUCCUGCCUGGAUUUGGUUAUAUUACCCAUUUUCACCAUUCUAUUCUUCAACUCCGUUCAUUUUAUUUUAGCUCUUCUAUGAGAUGAGAUGGGUCCUGCAAACGUUUUUCUUAUUGAUAUUAUAUGCAUAUUUUUUAAAAUUGAUUACUAGUUAAAGUUAUGUAGUAAAGGGUGGAUCAAAGUGCCACUUCCAUAGUUGUUAUAUGAACUAGUCGUUGGUUAGGUUUCUCAAAUCAUGUCAGUAUCUGCUCUGCUUAAAUUGCAUGUAUUGAAUUUUAGGCAUGCCAUUCUAUAUUGUUAUAUAUAUCUAUGUAGUACCUGAUAUUACAGAUUUAAGGUUCCUUAUUGUUACAUUUUAAAUGGUCUGCUUAGGUCACCUUGCAGUGAGAUGGCAUCCAGUAAUCUCUGUUGCUUUGUUCAAAUUUGAUGGCACUACUCUUAAUACAGAGUUCCUCAAUAGUGUCAGCAUGAUUGCAUAGCUGGAAUGGUGGCUAAAUUAAACAUUGGGCUCAGUUCAAUUGUCAUUUUAGAGCACCCUCUGCACUGUUCUUGAGCUCCAGGACCAUCUUCUUGCGAAACUUCAAUGACCUUAGGUUAGGUUCCUGCAUGCAGCUUUGAUUUGGUUUUCUAUUGUUGCCAGUCUGUUGUUCUUCAGUUCCCAUUCAUUUUGUUAUGGCUUUUCCAUGAGAUGGAUCCUGCAAACUGCUAUCUGCUUUGCAUAUAAUUGCAAUAUAAGCUAUUUCCAUUCACAUGCGUCAUCAUGGAGAGUCUUCCAUUAAGUUAUAUAAAAAGGACAGUCAGUAGGUGGAUAGGAGAAAAGCUUCUAGCCCCAAAUGAUUUUAGAACAAUCCCUGCUAAACCUAAUGUCUAUUGCCUAUUAUCGUGCCACUAGUAAGGAUCUUGAAGCUAAGCAGCAAGAAACCUGCAUAAUCACUAAUUAAGAAUAAUCACAUUCAAACAUAGAAGCUAGAUUGCUAUGCUAUCCUAUCCUCAGUUACCUCCGAUGGCACAAACGCCCUGAACCUUGUCAUAGGAGUGGGAUUAUAGGGGGCUAAAUCCAGCAGCCCUCUUUUAUCCAUCAUAUUCCUGCAUUCACCAUGAGUGAUGGAACCACAUUGUGCAUUAACCUGCCAUGUCAAAGAAUGCAUGAUAACCUCAAGGUCAAUGUAGAUUGAUAUGAUUUUUUUUUCAUUACAAGAAAGGGACUGGUUAUCUGCACAUCUCAAGAAAGCACAGACACACAUCAAUCCAUUUUUCCAUCCAUUUUUCCAGGAUGCAUAUGUACCAUAGGAGCACGAACAUAAUACAGUAACAGAUAAAUAGGUACAGAACCUCAAGAGUAAACUGCAAUUCAGGAAUCAUGGCACAUAUCAGAUUAUUAAGACAUGUUGUAGUCCGACCUCAAGUUCUAGCCUAAAUCAUGUAAAUCUUCUAGAAAGAGAAUGUCCCCACUACACUUGCAGAGUAUAGUUUAACAAGCAAAAUGGAAGAAAAGAAAAGCAUCCCCAUUGCAUUUUUGAGAUAAUGGCCUCACAAAUGUUCCCUCUUUGUGACUUCCAUUCGCAGUUAGAGAGAAAAUAAUUUAAGUAAGCAACUUAAAAUAAUGUGAACAUUUUUUCACGAGGGGGAUAGCACACUGAAAAACGAACACCAUCUCUUGGCUGAUGCACAAGCCUGAAACGUGAUUCUAGAUGUGUCUUUGCAGGUGUACAAUUAUCAAAAUAUAUUAAGUUAUGAUCACAACUGUAGAUCAAGAUAAGGCUAUUUGAGCUAGAGGUAUCACCAUCCAUGCAUCUUGAGUUGGCUUAUUCUUAUUAAAAUGUAUGUACAUAUAUUUUUGCUCUUAAAUGCCAACUGCAAUAAUGUUCAUAUAUCAAGCUGGAUAGAAACACGGUACUCGGCGCAGGAUAGAUAGCACAAUGGAAGCAGAGGCGAGCUUCAUGGGCUGUUGGCCCGGCUUAGCAGAGGCGGGGAGGUUUUGGGCUAAAAAGGCUUGAGGAAGAGAAGUGGUGGCCCUAUGCUGGGGUUUUCUGGGCUGGAUUCAAGAUAUUGGAAAAGAGGGAAGGAGAAGGUAUGCCAGGAUAGAGAGGCAUUCGAUCCAUAAAUGGCAUUAUUUCUGACCUAGCUUGUCAGUCAUAAAUAGUCAUGGCUUUUAUGACUCAGCUAAAGGAGGCCCGAUAGCUGCUUGCUACUAUCUACUCAUUGGGUGUCCUAUCAUCGCACACUGGUGGGAUCGCUGAACUGCUCAUUCCCCUUCCCCUGUUCAUCUUUGUCGCAGCUUGAUCCUAAGAUUUGAACUUCAUAUAUAUAUGUGCGGUUCAAUGGAGAAUUCGUUUGGAGAUACAAGUGAUACAACCUACAUGUGCACUUAUGUUUUCCUUGAACCAUGUACAUUUAACCGUGAAAUGUGUUGAAAUGCCUUUUGGAUCAAACCUUCUUUGACAUUUUGUCAUUUUUUUGCUUGAAUCUCCGUUAUGUGGCAGAAUAGCCCAUUGCCAGCAGGUUUUGGGAGCAUUUUGGAAAUUUUUGCUAGUGCACGAAAAACGAUGCGAAAUGGGUGCAUUUCGGUAACCGAAUGCUCUAUUUCGAGGUAGCGUACUUCCAACGGAUUUUUUCCCUACGAAUACAUCCAAUCUACCCCAUUAAACCCUAGAUGAUGUUUGGGAGCAUUUUAGAGUAUUUCCUUAGUGCACGAAAAAGAUGCGAAACGGGUGCAUUUCGAUACCCAAAUGCACUGUUUCGACUGAUUAUUCACUACGAACACAUCCAAUCUACUCCAUUAGACCCUAGAUGAUGUUUGGGAGCAUUUCGCUGCAAAAAAAACGAUGCGAAACGGAUGUGUUUCAGUACCCGAAUGCACUGUUUCGGGAUAUCGAACUUUCGACGGAUUUUUUCGCUACGAACGCAUCCAAUCUACUCCAUUAGACCCUAGAUUAUAUUUGGGAGCUUUUUGGAACAUUUCGCUAGAGCAUGAAAAACGAUGCGAAACGGGUGCAUUUCGAUACCCAAAUGCACUGUUUCGAGUAGCGAACUUCCAACUGAUUUUUUUGCUACGAACACAUCCAAUCUACUCCAUUAGACCCUAGAUGAUGUUUGGGAGCAUUUUGCUAUUGCACAAAAAAUGAUGUGAAACGGAUGCGUUUCGGUACCUGAAUGCACUAUUUCGGGAUAUCGAACUUCCGAUGAAAUUUUCGCUACGAACGCAUCCAAUCUACUCCAUUAGACCCUAGAUUAUAUUUGGGAGCAUUUUGGAAUAUUUCGAUAGUGCAGAAAAACGAUGCGAAAUGGGUGCGUUUCGGUACCCAUAUGCACCGUUUCGGGGUAGCGAACUUUUGAUGGAUUUUUUUUGCUACAAACGCAUCCAAUCUACUCCAUUAAACCCUAGAUUAUAUUUGGGAGCAUUUUGGAACAUUUUGAUAGUGCAGAAAAACGAUGCGAAACGGGUGUGUUUAGUACACGUAUGCUUUGUUUCGGGGUAGCGAACUUUUGAUGGAUUUUUUCGCUACGAACGCAUCCAAUCUACUCCAUUAGACCCUAGAUGAAUUUUUGGAGCAUUUUGGAACAUUUCGCUAGUGCACGAAAAAUGAUGCAAAAUGGGUGCGUUUCGGUACCGAAUGCACUGUUUUGGGGUAGCGAACUUUUGACGGAUUUUUUCGCUAGGAACGCAUCCAAUCUACUCCAUUAGACCCUAGAUGAUGUUUGGGAGUAUUUUGGAGCAUUUAGUUAGUGCACAAAAAACGAUGCAAAACAGUGCAUUUCAGUACAACUAUGGAAAUGUUGCGAAAAAUUGUUAUAAGGAUAUGGAAAUGUUUUGAAAAUGAUAUUUCAAAUAAUAUACUAGUUACAACUAUUAAAUGAGUCACCAUCACAAUGGUCAUGAAAUAAAAUGUAAAAUAUCAAAACUUGGCAUGUCUGUUUGCUUGAAAAUGGAACGAAUGAGUGGCACGCUGGAGGCGUGCCUCAGACUCUAGUAGUAUAAGUUCUGAACUGAGAUGGAAAAAAGGCACGCCGAAUGGGCGUCUCAAGCUCUAGUUGGCAGAAUUGGGCCACAUCAUCACUACAGCCUCAAGCCCUAAAAGGCACAAAGAAAGGUGCUCACCAACCAGAUAGCAAAAUCAUAAGAGGAGGUUGGCAGCCACAUAACCAAAGAGACACGGCAACUAGAUAAUGAAAACACGAGUUCCUCAGGGAUGAGGCUAAAGGAGGUCGGCAGCCACAUAGCCAAAGAGGCACUAGGGUAUUUGGUUACUCGUAUCAUUUAAGUUCGUAUAAAGAUAAAUACUGUUCCUUUUAUUUGGUUGGAUUAAAGGUGUAUUUGGUUACAUGCACCACAAGAUUAAAUGCAUGGAUGAUCCUAGAUGGUGGGUUCAACCAAUUUGUUUGCAUCAUAUGGUUCGCUAUUAUUAGUAAAUAAUGUAUUAAGUGGGAUGGCUUCAUCAUGACCGGGGACCGGGAUGGUACAAUUCAUCUAACCAAACAAAAUAAUCAUUAUUAUUUUGAACCAUUUCAUACUGUUGGCGCUAGAAAUCGGUCAACCGAAUCCCAGCGACCGACACACGACCCGGGAGAAUCUGCUUAGCUCCUGUUCGGGUGAAUGCCCUGGUGCGAUUCGCGCGGCGUGCCAGCCAAUCUGACCUAUUGAUUGGCAAGGAAGAAUACGUGUCAGGUCCAGAAAUCUCGAUCGGCUACUUUCCGAUCUCGAGAGAGUUUAUCAGCGAACCGGCCGAUUUACUGUAACAACGAAAUCGGCUAUAGGACAGCCCGAUCUCUGUAGCCUUGUAGACAAGAAAUUACUAAAGGAAUCGGUACAAAGCUAUGAUAACAACACUAGGAACAGAUCUAAUCGGCAAUAGAUGAAUUUGAUAGCAAAAUAUGGAAAGAGCCGAAACUACCAAUUCCUAGCUGGAUAAUUGGUGAUAAAGACUAGAAAAACAAGUAAGACCUAUGAAUCUAGUAAAUAUCGAUAACUAGUGAAUAAAUCUAAACGAAACCACAGCGAUACGCCUGGAGUUAAAGCUUAGAUAUUACUCGAUAAACGGAACUUACAGAAUCGGCCGGAGAUCAAGAUGAUGCAGCCCCGCCAAUCCGCACGAACUCGUGGAAAAGAGAAAAAAUAGUAGCGAAGUCGCUUGAAAGUAAGUACGAGGAAAAAAGUAGCUUGUUGUAUUGAUUGGUUGAUGAUUACAGAUUUACAAAGGUAGCUAUUUAUAGCCCCGUACAGAUAACUUCUUAACCGACUAGAGUUAUAUCCCUAAUUUAAACAGAAAACGAAUAUCUACAAGCACAAUUCGUGCUAGGUUAGUUACUCCACGCUUCGUGGGCUGAUUUCCAUCUUAUCCUUCUAUCUCUUUCCAAGCCCAUACAGGCCCAAUUAGCCCAUCUUCCAAAUCGGCCGAUUCCUUAUCGGCAAAAGAUUACCGAUUGGGACCUUGGUGCAUUCGACCCAAAGCGAAACAAAAGUCACCGACCGAUCUCGCACCAUAGCACCAUUUAGCCGAUUCCCAACUGUGCUUCUCCGAUUCCCCUUCUUCUUGGCGCCGAUUCUCCUAGUGACAAAAUCUGGCGUCAACACAUGCCCCCCAGUUUCGGAGUAAAGCAUAGUCCUUUACUUCGAAAUUCUUUAUAACCUCCCCUCCGAAACGGCCGCAGUGAAAAUAUCCUUCCGUUUCGCGGUCUUCCAGCUGAUCAUUGCAAUUUUUCGAAACGGGCGCCCAAGACAACCACUACCCCCGAAAAACUCGAAGCGCCGGCGUGAUAAAAAUUCCAUUUUUACCCCCCUUCAGGCAUCCUUUAAAUAGCGCCUCACCGCAACUCAUCUUCAAGCUCACGUCUCUUUUCCCAGCGCGCGCGCAUUCUUCCUCUCUCAGCACUUUUCCCUUGCCACCGAAGCUUUCUAGCUCCACUUCCUGUUACUUCUCCCUUCUUCUCUUUCCAAUGGCGGCUCCUUCCGGCAGCUCUCCUUCGCGCGACGCCCCAGAGGUAGCGCCUCCGAUGGUGGUAGCGACAACCGUCACUCCUUCCACAGAUGAGAGAGCUUCAUCGGAGAUCCCAAUGGCGAUCCCCAUCGCGGCCCCAUCGUCCGCAUCCGCAUCGGCGACCACGCCGAUCACUCAGAACUUCAUCCCAGAGGUAAAUACCGAAUCCUUCCUCUAUCGGCAAUGUAUUCACCCUAGAUCUGUUUCUUACUUUUCCACACUCCCCUUUUUUAGGCAGUUAGGCAUAGAAUUACCAUUCACCUCACGGGAAGUCCCGGCCUUGUUUGUCUCGGUCCCAUGGGAAACCCAGAUCCAAUAGAUCUCAUAAAUUUGGAAACCGACCGGAUACCCUUCAAACGGUCUGAUAUGAACUUAGAUCACUGGGUGGGUACUUUUAGAUCCUAGCCGAAUGAAACCCCAGGUUGGAGGGAGUGGUACCAACGGGUGGCCGCAUCAAGGAGCGUUUCAUGGGACGAGCUCAAAAUCGCCCAGUGCAUCAACCUUUCCUUAUCUCAAAUGGAGAAAAAUGAGCCGUUAGUGAUGGCAGCUUCUUAUUUUUGGUCUGAUGCACUUAAUGCAUUCUUAUUUGGGCACGGUCCUAUGACCCCCACACUAGCCGAUGUGGUCCUGUUGACCUUCCUUGACAUAUCCUCCCCGGACACACUCUUCCGUCUUUUGACCACAACGUCACAUCGGCUGGACACAAGGGGAAUCGGCGGUUGGAAGGGCUUCAUCAGAAGUAAUAAGAAGACCGGGACUGUUGAGAACAGGGAGCACGCGGCUUUCCUGAUGAUGUGGCUAGAAAAGCACUUCUUUUGCGGAAGAGCCGCCGACCCAACAACCAACACCCAAGCCUUAGCCGAAGCACUGUCCAGAGGAGACCGUGUCCCCCUCGGAAAACAUCUACUAGGGGCUGUGUACCACAUGCUUCAUCAAAUCGGCACAAGACUAUCCAAGGGAGAGCCGAUCGGCAAUCAAGGCGGGCCUUGGUGGUUUGUCAAUCUGUGGUUGAAUCUUUACAUGAGCAGAAUCACCCAGCAGCCGGUGGACCGCAUGACGUUCCCCAAUGUCGAAUCGGCAAAGGACCCUACCGAACGCCGCCGAUGCAUGUCCUUUGGCGAGGCGGCGUCAGCUUUCCCAGGUUGCGCGUAUUCUGCUACAAAGGUAGCCGAGUACUUUCAGUGCUUUUACAAUGGAUUUAAUGAAGACACAACCAUUUGGUUUCUGUAUCAGCGAAAUGACCCAGUCUUUGAGUUCCCCACCUGCUUCGAUUCAGCUUCUGGCCGAUUUGAUGAAGAUCUUUAUGAAGGGCUGAUCAAACCAGGGCUCCUACCGGCCAACUUCUUCUCAGGGAAGGAUGCCCCUACGUACGAAUUCUACAACCCCUCCGCUGCAGCACGACAAUUCGGCAUGGGUCAGCUGCCGAUUCAUGUGUAUUUUGCUGGCCGAAUCAAGUUUAGAGAUGAGCUCACAUCUGGCCUGGAUUACGGUCGGUUGCGAGACCGAAUUCCGGACUCCAGUACAAUUAACUUGAACGACUGGCUAUUAGCUCCAUUUGCCGUUCAGCCGUUCAAACUUUGGUGGGCCGAUUGGAAGCAAUUUCUUUUCUACAACUCAGCAUCGGCAUACUGCAACCUUCUAGACCCGGCCAACAUUGACCCAAACGCCGAGGUACUUCACAUAACCGAUUUUUAUUCCUCUUAACAUGGUUGAGUACUAAUGAUUUUAUUAUUUCUUUAGGCCGAGAAUCGGACCCCUCCAACGCAUAGCCGCAGCGGACGACUAAUAGAGAGUCAUCCAUAUACUACUUAUCCUCUUAUCGGCUAUGACACUCCGUCUGUUGACGUGAUUGCUGGCCGAUCAAAGCAAGUUCAUAAGAGGACCACUAAAAAGACCAGUCGCCGAGUCCGGGCUCGUACGGAAUCGGCGGAUCCUCCUGUGCUCGUAUCGGCAGAAACUUCGACCGCAUUACCUUCCCAGGUCAUUCAAAGUGCCAAUACUCAAACCAUCACACAAGCCGGGGCGGCUGCCGCAUCACUAUUGUUGGAAGCCAUACAGGUAAGCCUGAGUUUUGCUAUCUCCGAUUGUCAUUCUGAUAUUAACCCUUCUUAACUUUGGACCACACAGAGCGCCCCUAUAGAAAUACAACAAUCGGCAGCAACUCAACUAGACAUCGACGCGCCCCCGCCCCCAUCCGUUGAGGUAUAAUAUUUAUCUUACCGAUUUCCUUCCGGUAUCUUCGUAAUGUACUUAUUCAACCUUCUGACACAGGCCAUCGGCACCCCGAACGCUCCUCGACCACCGAUCUCUUCUCAGGGAGCUGGACCAAGCACUGCGCCGAUUAUCGUGGAGUCUUCUUCAUCUGAUGAACCCAUGGCGCAGGCUCCUGAGCAAGACACGACGGCUUUACAGGUGCAGCAUGAGGAAAUUCGCUUCAAAAUGGUAAGUUUCUAUCUCGGCUUUCACCCAGCCGAUUUGCUCUCAUUCCCCGCCGACUUAUCCUUUUUCCUUAUUUUCUUUAGGAACAAGACUCCCCCGACAACAGCCUCUUCUCCUUUGCGGUUGCUCUUUCCGAUGACAAAGAAGUCGCUUCCCACCAAGUCGCCCUGAGCUCCAUUCCUGAUGACGUCCGAGCUAAACUUUCCACUAUCCGAUCCCUCCUUCAGGGGGACAUCGGCCGACUAGUAGAAGAUGCUUCGCCGAUUCGGCAGCUCUUCAGUGACGUCAGCGGACGAGUGCCAGAGGAGGCGGAGGAGGCCCUGGCGCCGGCGGCCUUCAUCGAGUCCAUGAGGAUCCCAGUCUUCAGGGCCCUUCGUCAUAUGGCCGAUCGUGCAAAACUGGCCAAGACUCGUGAAGAUGAAGACGCUUUCAAGCAUCAGGCUCAAGAGGCGCAUCGGCGUAUCCAUGUUCUAGAAGAUUCCCGUCCGACGAUCAUCGGUGAAAUAGACCGCCUCAAACGUCGAAGGGCGGAGCUCGUCAAGGAGAUGGAGCAAGUGACUAAAGCAAUCAGUGCCGAAGAGAGUAAACUCCAAGAGCUGCCCUCUGUUAUUGCCGAUUUGACAUGGGAGAGGCAGCGACUUGCUCAUGAGGCCUUGAGACUUCAUCGCAGCGCAUCGGAGGUCCCUGGAUCGGUGGAAGAAGACCAACGGGUUCUUGACUCUGCCGAUCAGAUCCGGCGUCGGGCCAUCACGGCUAUCGAUACCCUUCUGGGUAAUCUGUAAAACACUGACUGUUUUGUACGAACAUUUACUAUCUUCUUUGACCGUCCCUCGCGAUGCCCUUUCUAUUUACUGCCUCCUUAUUACCGAUGGGACGUGGCCUUACCAGAUUUCCACGCAUUUUUUCCAUAAAUACCGACCUCCGCGCCUACUCCCGAUAGCACUGACCUGGCUCUCGUUUUACUUUUCUUCUUCUUCUCAUCGGCGCGACUGCUCUGUCAUGGCUUCAUCGUCCUCUUCUUCUGUUAACCAGGUGAAGCCCUGACCUUUACCUUCCCUUAGAUCUUAGGAAAAGAAUGUUCCUUCUUAUCCCUUCUUUGUUUUAGCCUCAACGUCUUAGCCCUGAGCUCGUGCGCGCCAUCGAGUGCAUCCACUCCGAGGACCCAUUGUCAUCGGAGGACAAGGCGCUGAUCCUGGCUCACCGAGAGGAACUCCGAGACCACAUUACUGCGGAAGCUCGUGUGGUCUUGGAUUCCGUGGUGAAUGAAAAUAAUCGCCGAUCUCCAACCGUCGGGGGCCAUCGCCAUGACGAACCUGAAGAUGACGUCACCUCGGCAGCCCGCACAAUUUUGGACUUCAUGGAGAGGAACGGCGGCCAGCGACCCCCCACCGACAGGAACCGUCUACUUCCUCGGCCAGUCGUCCUCACGGCGGCAGAGACCUCGCGCCUCCGUGUCGUGAACAAGUUGGAGCAGAACGGGAAGGCGUCCAAGAAGAAGAACAACUAGUUUGUUUUUGUAUUUUUUGUUCUAAGGGCGACUAAAUGUUUUGUCGGCCAUGUAACCCGUCACCCGUACCGAAUGAACGUAAUCGGCCGAUCCGGUCGACUAUGUGUUUAAACCGAUUUGUAUCGGCUAUGUGUUUGAACCGAUUUGUAUCGGCUAUGUGUGAUUGUGUCACGGUCAAUUUCUCACGCUCCGUCCCAUAUACUAGGGUAGUAUCUUUUUAAGUACCUUCCAUUUAGAGCUCUGGUAAAUUCUUCUCCUUCUAUUGUUUCCAAAAUAUAAGCAUUUCCUGGAGCGCAUCUGCCGAUUUUAUACGGCCCUUCCCAGGUAGGGGACCAUUUUCCGAAUUUAGGAUCUUUCGACCUGAUCGGCAACACUAACUUCCAUACCAAAUCUCCAGGAGAGAACUGUUUGACUUUGACCUUCUUAUCGUACCACCUGGCUACUCUCUUUUUAUUUUCUUCAAUGCUUAUCAGGGCCCUCAAUCGUUGGCAAGCCAAAUCGUCAAGUUCCCUUUUCAUAAGUGAUGAGUAAUCAUCGGCCGAUAACUGGUCCUGGAGCGAAAUGCGUCUCGAUCCUGCCCUUGAUUCCCACGGUAGUACUGCAUCGUGACCGUACACCAACUGGUAGGGAGACAAUUUGGUAGCCCCAUGACAAGCCAUCCUGUAUGCCCACAGGGCCUCAGUCAAACAUAGAUGCCACUUCUUUGGCUGUUCUUCGAUUUUCCUUUUGAUCAACUUGAUUAUUCCUUUAUUGGAGGAUUCUGCUUGACCAUUGGCUUGAGCGUAAUACGGAGAAGAAUUUAACAAUUUGAUUCCCAUAUCGGUCGUAAACUCCUCAAAUUCCCCCGAUGUGAACAUCGUUCCUUGAUCGGUUGUUAUAGUCUGAGGGAUGCCGAAUCGGUAGACGAUGUGGUCCCUUACGAAGUCGGCCAUGAUAGCCGAUGUCACGGCUCUCAACGGGAUUGCCUCCACCCAUUUGGUGAAGUAAUCAGUAGCCACCACAAUAAAUUUGUGCCCCUUGCUUGACGGUGGGUAAAUUUGGCCGAUAAGGUCUAUUCCCCACCCCCUGAACGGCCAUGGCUUGAUGAUGGGAUUCAUGGCCGAUGCGGGUGCACGUUGGACAUUUCCAAACUUUUGACACUCCUAACAACCUUUAUAAUAUUUGAAACAGUCUUCAAGGAUCGUAGGCCAAUAGUACCCGUUGUUCCUGAUCAUCCACUUCAUCUUAUGUGCCGAUUGGUGUGCUCCACAUACCCCUUCAUGGAUUUCUCCCAUUAGAGUCUUGGCCUCUUCUGUCCCAAGGCAUUUAAGAAGGACCCCGUCAAUCGUUCGGUAGAACAGAUCAUCUUCGAGCAGUACGUAUUUGGUGGCAUGAAAGCGUACUCGUCGCUCCACCUUUUUAGACGGAUCCUUCAGGUAAUCGGCAAUUUCUUUACGCUAGUCGUCAGCUGCGAGUUCUAAAGCCAUAGCGCCCAGAAUCGGCCGAUACCCGGAUGCGUGCUGGGCGAGUUUGUUUGCUUCUUCGUUGCGGUCCCUUGGAACAUGCUCGAUUACUGCCGAUCUGAAUUCUUUUAAAAGCUGUAAGCAAUCUUCGUAAUAAAUUCUUUAUACGUCAUCUUUGCACUCAGCCCUUCCGGUCAAUUGAUCCACAAUAAGCAUAGAAUCUCCGAAGAUCUCAACAGAAUCGGCCUUGACUUCUCUCAAUAGUUGUAAGCCUUUUAAUACAGCUCUGUACUCCGCUUGAUUGUUAGUAGCGGCGGUUUCUAUCGGCAGAGAAAAACCAUAGCUUGCCCCCCGAGGCGAUAUGAGAACGAUGCCGAUUCCUGAUCCGACCCCGCAUGACGACCCGUCGAAAAAUAAUUGCCAAGGCGCCAGUUCCACGAGGGCGAUCUCCGGUCCACAGUGCUGGGCGACGAAAUCGGCCAUGACUUGACCCUUGACGGCUUUUGCCGAUUCAUACCGCAGGUCAAAUUCUGAUAAAGCUAAGAUCCAUUUGCCGAUUCGUCCUUUCAAUAUCGGCAGUGAUAGCAUGUAUUUUACUACGUCAUCUUUGCAUACGACUACACAUUCUGCCGACAGUAGAUAGUGCCUGAGUUUGGUGCAUGAGAAGUAAAGACACAAGCACAAACGCUCUACCGGAGGAUAUCUUGUUUCAGCAUCCAGGAGUCUUCUACUGACGUAAUAAAUUACCCGCUCUUUGCCUUCAAACUCUUGGACUAGAGCCGACCCAAUAGCUUUUUCAUCGGCUGAUAAAUACAGUUUAAACGGCUUACCAGUUUGAGGGGGAACCAAGACUGGCGGUGAGACUAAGUAUCGCUUGAUAUCUUCUAACGCCUUGCGCUGUUCUUCUCCCCAUAUAAAUUCCUGGUCUGGCUUCAACUUUAGAAGUGGCGUGAACGCUUGAAUCCGUCCAGAUAGAUUAGAUAUAAAUCUUCUGAUGAAGUUCACCUUGCCGAUUAGAGACUGCAGUUCGGUUUUGUUCUGUGGGGCCACGACUUUGUUGAUGGCCGCUAUGGUCUUCCGAUUGACUUCUAUGCCUCGUUCGUGCACCAUGAAUCCUAAGAACUAUCCGGCGGAUACGCCGAAAGCACAUUUGUUCGGAUUCAUCUUAAGACCGUGCUUUUUGGUACACUCUAGCACUUUUCGCAAAUCGGCCAGAUGUUCCUCGUGACUUUUGGACUUGACCACAACAUCAUCGAUGUAGAUUUCUACCAGGAGGCCAAUGAGUUUGUGAAAAAUGUAGUUCAUAGCUCUCUGAUAUGUAGCGCCAGCAUUCUUCAAGCCGAAAGUCAUCACCACCCACUCGAACAAACCAAGAUGGCCUGGACAUCUGAAGGACGUUUUGGGUAUGUCCUCUUCGGCCAUAAGUAUUUGAUUGUAUCCAGCGUUUCCGUCCAUGAAGCUAAUGAUUUUAUGUCCCGCGGCAGCGUCGAUCAGUACAUCGGCCGUUGGCAUGGGGUAACCAUCCAUCGGUGUGGCCUGAUUAAGAUUCCUGAAAUCAACGCAAACGCGUAACUUCCCAUUUUUCUUGUACACUGGCACGAUAUUAGAAAUCCACUCGGCAUAACGACAUUGCCGAAUAAAUUUUGCUUCGAUUAGCCGAGUUAUUUCAGCUUUUAUGUCUGGUAAAAUUUUAGGAUUGCAACGCCGUGCAGGUUGUUGGUACGGCCGAUACCCUGGCUUUAUGGGUAGCCGAUGUUCAACAAUAGAUCGGUCUAAACCGGGCAUCUCGUGAUACUCCCAAGCAAAACAAUCCUUGAAUUCUCUUAAUAAAUUUGUCAAUUUACACUUGUAUUCUGGAUCUAAAUUUGCACUAAUAAAAGUCGGCCUUGGUUUGGUUCCAUCACCUAAGUCUAUCAUCUCUAAUGAAUCGGCCGACGUGAAUCCGUGCCCUAGCUUCCCAUCUUCUCGGGCGAACUGAUCCAUCUAUUCUGAGUCUUCGGAGCCGACUGCUCGGAUCGGCUGUAGGCCAAAAUCGGUGACCUUCAGGAAAUCGGUCUCCCACACCCUACCUGAUAUGCACCUGACGGUUUCACAGCUCCACUGCUGUGUGUCGGCUGCUGCAAUGCUGUACGCGGAGUCGGCUUUGACCACCUCGAUGUUAUCACCGACCCAUUGUAUGAGGCACUGAUGCAUAGUUGACGGGAUGCAGCAGUUUGCGUGUAUCCAGUCUCGGCCAAGUAGCAUAUUGUAGGAUCCCUUGCCAUUAAUAAUGAAGAAUGUGGUAGGAAGGGUCUUACUGCCGAUGGUGAGGUCGACGCAGAGAGCACCACGAGCGUUUGACACCUUGCCUUCGAAGUCCUUGAGCAUCAUGUCCGUCUUGGUCAGGUCGUCGUCGCUUUUCCCCAGUUUCCGGAGCACGGCGUACGGCAUGAUGUUGACAGCAGCUCCUCCGUCGACCAUCAAUCUAGUGAGGGGGCGACCGUCAACAUGCCCUUUAAGGAACAAUGCCUUCAUAUGUUGUCGUUUGUCAUCUUCGGGCUUUUCGAACGUGGCCAUCAUCGGCUCCAAAGCCAACUGCGCCGUCUGUUCUUCUAUUGCCGAUACGUCCUGUUGAUCGGCGGGAGUCAUGAAUUCCAUCGGCAAAAUGAAAACCAUGCCGAUCUCGGCUGCCGAUUCAUCACCCGCCAACUCGUCGUCUCCUUUAUCGUUUCUUUUGGGGCGCCACACCCGAGGCCUUCCUUCCUUCUUGUCCGUCACGCUUUCUCCUUCUUGCUGUUCCCAUUGGCGGAGACGUUGGAUUCUUCGUUUUUGAGACUUGGUCAAUCCAUCGGGACACCACCUGGGGUUUAUUGGUCUUCCCCCUGACCUGGCGCGCUCCCACUCUGGUUCGCGUCCUAACGGGUUUUCAUCCGUCACCCGAGCAUCGGCCAUCUCUUCGAGCCGGCUGUGAACGCUGGCCUUGCUAUCUGACUGGUCACGCCGAUCGGUCCUGCCCCCCUGCCUAUCAUGGCGUUUAUCUUCUGACCGAUCAUAUCGGUCACUUCUGCCCCCCAGCCGAUCACGCACGGGAGGGCGCUGGUCAUCUUGGUUGCGCCAAUCCCUGCUGAUCGGUUCUAGCCUUCCGUCUCUGGAGCGAGACCUGUUGAACGGCCGAUUGCCACGAUACGGACCGUUGCACUCCGGGCAAGUAUCGGCCGAAGGUAGCCUGAGGUUAUUUUCCCAACAAUGAAUGAAGAACGGGCAUCUCCAGUGCUCCUCGUGCCGACGCAUCGCUUCUUCUCGGGACCUUGAGCGUUCAUGCUGACGUUGGUACUUCUGGAGCAGGAACUGGGAAGUAAUGCGUGGCUCUUCUGACUCACCAUCAUCGUUCUCCAUCCGCCGCUUCCCCUUGACAUCUUCAGGCAUAGCUUGAUUUCUGGGAUCAACGGCGCCACUCUUUUUGGCCGAGUCAGACGUCAACACUUUUGUUUGGAGUGAAUUCUUCCCCGUAUCAACCAUAUUGGUAGGAAAGGGGUGUUGGUCGAUCUUCAUUGGCUUGGCUGAUUUUGCCGGCACUUCAAAUUUAAGUCUGCCUUGCUCAAUGGCCGACUGUAUCUGUUGCCUGAAGAUCUUGCACUCGUUGUUAUCGUGUGACGUGGCAUUGUGCCACUUGCAAUACUUCAUCUUUUUUAAUUGUUCGGCAGAAGGUAUUGUAUGGUAUGGUGAGAGUUUAAUCUGCCCUUCCUGGAGGAGAAGAUCGAAGAUUUUAUCGGCCUUAGUUGUGUCAAAACCGAAUGCUUCCGGCUCCUUUUUGCCGAAUGGGCAUGAUAUCGGCUUCUUCCCUUUGAUCCACUCCGCAAAUCCAACUUCAACAUCUUUUUCAUCUUCUAACUCUUCCAGGAACGCCACUUUCUUUUGGAAAUUCCUCCGCGGAUCGAAAGAGCGCACCUCUUGUCCGGACAAUCGGUGAACAAUCUGGCUCAGACUCUCGAACUCCUGUGAAGCAUACCUUUCUUUGAUGUGGGGCAGAAGGCCUUGGAAAGCUAUAUCGGCCAACUGCGCAUCGGUUAGAGCCAGAGAGUAGCACUUGUUUCUGAUUUCCCGAAACCUCUGUAUAUACGAGGGUAUCGGCUCAUCACUCCUUUGCCGGAGGCUAGUCAAAUCAGACAGCUUCAUCUCAUGCACCCCGGCAUAGAAGUACUUGUGGAACUGUUUUUCUAAAUCGGCCCAUGUGAUAAUUGAGUUUGGCGGCAAAGUCGUGAACCAUUGGAAGGCCGAACCAGACAGAGAUGACGAGAACAAUCGUACCCGUAGGGCAUCUUGCGUAGCUGCUUCUCCGCAUUGGAUGAUGAAUCUAUUCACAUGUUCCACGGUCGAAGUAUCAUCCAUCCCCGAAAAUUUAGUGAAAUCAGGAACUUUAUACCGAUGGGGGAACGGCAAUAGGUCAUAUGUAGACGGGUAUGGUGUUCUGUAAGUAUAAGUUUGCAUUUUUGGCUUCAAGCCGAAUUGUUCUUGCAUCACCUCCGCAAUUCGUGCCGACCAAUCUGGUUGUUGCUGGUGAACUGUUGGCUGAGGUAUCGGCACGUGCUGAUAAAUCGGAGGCUGAAUAAAAGGAGACUGAUGAAAAGGUGGUAUCUGAGUGUAAGCCGGCGGUGUAGUAAAGGUCGGCUGUUUGAAUGAACCACUCGUUUCAUCAUAUAGCAUGAGCUCUGUUGUCUUGCUAACCUCCGGAGCGACAGGCUGGUAUGGUGGUAUGGUCGGCCGAAUGGCCGCCUGGGAGGAUGCCUGGACGGAGGGUUUCCUUGACUGGCCGAUUGAUUCAGACCAGCCAUGGCUGAAGGUGCCCCCCAGGGUGAUGGGCUGACUGGAGGGAAUGGUGUAGAAGACAGCUGGAUGGAGCCAUAUCCCAAAGGAGUUGAUGAUGCAGAAGCGCCUGAACUUCCAACAGGAGAUUGAAUCGGCUGUGAAGCCGAAUACGGAUAAGCCUGAUUUGGUGGAAUCGGCUGAAAAUAUGUCGGUCCCCGGUACCCUUGAGGUAUGCCUCCGGCAAAGGAGUUGACAACGGCAUUGUGCACCAUGUUUGAAAGCACCGGGGACUGGUCGAUGAAGGCGUGAUGAAUAGAUUGUUGAAUCAUAUCGGACAUUUUAUCCGAAUCUUCAGAAAUCGUGAUCUGGCGGGGAGCAGAGAACGGAGUCUUCUUGAUGGUUUCCCCGCUUCUGGAGCGACUGAAAGACUUCAGACAAGUUUUCCGGAACUGUGCCAUAUACUUGUCCAGAUCUUCUCUCUGGUCGUCCUUCAAAUCUGCUUCCGUCACUUCGAUGACGUUAUCUUCGGAGACUUCAGCAGCUUUCGACAUGAUGGCGGUUGUAUUGGUCCCACCGGGCGUGCCAAAAGUGUGUUGGCGCUAGAAAUCGGUCAACCGAAUCCCAGCGACCGACACACGACCCGGGAGAAUCUGCUUAGCUCCUGUUCGGGUGAAUGCCCUGGUGCGAUUCGCGCGGCGUGCCAGCCAAUCUGACCUAUUGAUUGGCAAGGAAGAAUACGUGUCAGGUCCAGAAAUCUCGAUCGGCUACUUUCCGAUCUCGAGAGAGUUUAUCAGCGAACCGGCCGAUUUACUGUAACAACGAAAUCGGCUAUAGGACAGCCCGAUCUCUGUAGCCUUGUAGACAAGAAAUUACUAAAGGAAUCGGUACAAAGCUAUGAUAACAACACUAGGAACAGAUCUAAUCGGCAAUAGAUGAAUUUGAUAGCAAAAUAUGGAAAGAGCCGAAACUACCAAUUCCUAGCUGGAUAAUUGGUGAUAAAGACUAGAAAAACAAGUAAGACCUAUGAAUCUAGUAAAUAUCGAUAACUAGUGAAUAAAUCUAAACGAAACCACAGCGAUACGCCCGGAGUUAAAGCUUAGAUAUUACUCGAUAAACGGAACUUACAGAAUCGGUCGGAGAUCAAGAUGAUGCAGCCCCGCCAAUCCGCACGAACUCGUGGAAAAAGAGAAAAAACAGUAGCGAAGUCGCUUGAAAGUAAGUACGAGGAAAAAAGUAGCUUGUUGUAUUGAUUGGUUGAUGAUUACAGAUUUACAAAGGUAGCUAUUUAUAGCCCCGUACAGAUAACUUCUUAACCGACUAGAGUUCUAUCCCUAAUUUAAACAGAAAACGAAUAUCUACAAGCACAAUUCGUGCUAGGUUAGUUACUCCACGCUUCGUGGGCUGAUUUCCAUCUUAUCCUUCUAUCUCUUUCCAAGCCCAUACAGGCCCAAUUAGCCCAUCUUCCAAAUCGGUCGAUUCCUUAUCGGCAAAAGAUUACCGAUUGGGACCUUGGUGCAUUCGACCCAAAGCGAAACAAAAGUCACCGGCCGAUCUCGCACCAUAGCACCAUUUAGCCGAUUCCCAACUGUGCUUCUCCGAUUCCUCUUCUUCUUGGCGCCGAUUCUCCUAGUGACAAAAUCUGGCGUCAACACAUACGUGCACGUAUCAAAUAAUACAAAUGAUACAAAGCAACAAAACACACCCCGAUUGUAGCAACUCAUCCCGGAUGCCCACUUUAGUACAAUUACAGGUGUGAACUCUAUGAUACAAACUAGUUGAAUUACACCAUGCAGACAUCCAUACAUCAUGCAGAGAGGUCAGCAGCACUCCUAGGACCCUCGGAAGAUGCUUAGAUAUUGUUGACAAUGGCCAUUCAUCCAUAAAUAAGUAAUGAAAUAUGUGUUUAAAAAAAUGCAUUCAUCCAUAAAUAACAGCCCUCACACGGCUAGCAUGCCACAUAGUCCUCGAUGACUAACAAAUAUAGUUCGCAAACAUAGUUGACACGAUGCAAGCUAAUGUAAUACAGGUCCAUCAAUAAUGCAACACCUCAUAGACAUCACACCACGGGUGAGGUGUGAAGGGCUUUGUUUCAACUUGCACACCAAUUUAGUGAUCACCAUGCUAAGUAGUACCCUUUGUGCUUUGCUUCCAAGUUUAGACUUAGGUUGCGGUUGGCUGCGGUUCAGCGUUCACCCCUAGAACUUCUAGCUUGCAUGGCCCCAGACAUCCAUCCCUACUUGUUUCACCAGCAAUCCUUCCAUAUCUGUUUCAUGUACAAGAGUGCAUCUUAGUUAAAAAAUCCCUUGGUGUGAAAACAAUAAUUAUAGAUGAUAAGAAAAAGCAAGAAUUCUAUAGUAAACAUGUCUAUGUACUAACAGAAACCUAAACAGCAAAAGCAAGGAUUACAUAGCAAGCAUGUUCAUGUACCAAAAGAAAAUAUUGCUUCAUUGGUGCAAAUUUUUGCAUCAUUUUGGCAAUAAUGACCAAGAAAUUCUGUUCAGUAAGGGUGAGGCACACCAUAUGGCCUGCAACAUGCAACGUGUGCUUGAAUUAUGGAAAUGAGACAACUGAGCACUGGUGUGUUAACAUUUUCCCCUCAAAGAAGUUAACUAUAAAGAUUAUUUGGCUCCUUAGAUGGUAUGAAAAAUCACAAGGUUAGGCAACUAGUAAUACAGAUAGUGCUUACUGUGUUCAAUUGAAGUCAUAUUGGUUCUGAUAAAAAUUAAUAAAUCUUAAGAGAAAAGGAAAAAUUGUAGCAGGCAGGGGUGGAGCUGCACGGGGUGCUGGGGGUGCUGCAGCACCCCUACCCCCAGCACCCCCUCAGUUCAUGCUAGUCCAUUUAAUAUUAACUGUUUUAUCUUAAAACUUUGAACAUAAAACAUGAACUUAGUUCAAUUAUAGAGUCUCAGCACCCCCUUUGAGCUGAUUCUGGCUCCACCCCUGGUAGCAGGCAUGUGCACAUUCCAGAAGCAAGCAUUGUUUUAGUGUUGCACAUUUAGCACCAUUUUAACCAUGACCAAUAAGGGCGAGUUACACAACAUGGCAUGCAAGGUGGAACACAUGAAAGAUGAAUCCUGGCUAUGAGAUAGGAUAAUAGAUAUUUGGUACCCAUGAACAAACUGCUGAACCAUAUGAUCUUUCAGGCACAGCACACUAUAAGCAGAAACUUCCGGGAGAAGGGUUUUACUAGACAUGAUAGGGAACAAUGCAGUACAGUUGAGACAGACUUCUUUAAAUGGUGAAAUGAAACAAUCCCUUCUACUUCAUCAAAAAGAAGCUCCAGAAUGUAGAUGUAGUGGCGGGGGAGCUAUAAGUGCUAAUUUUGCGGAUGGAAAUGUAAAAGAUAGUACGAUUUAUCAAUGCAGGUACAAUAUUAACAAUUGAGAGACAAAUAGUUAAUUGAAUAACAAUAAACCAGACAGAUCUAAAGAACACUAGGACUAGGAGCACUGCUAUGAAUAAACUAAUAAUGAAGACCGGAAGCAAAAUGAGCGUUAUUACACAUUAUACCAUGAUGUUAGUAGUAUAACAUAAUUAAAACAAAUGCUCCUGCCAGAUAACAAAUGGAUACCGCAGCUUCAGAAUGAAAGCACCUACUUGUGCUGCUGGUACAUUUUAGUUUUAGUUUAUAUGUACUACGUUGGUCCAAAACAGAGAAUGCAAACAAAAUUACCUGGAGGAGGACCAAAUGUUCAGAUGCUUGGAGAUCCCACUUUGAAGGUAGGUGAAAGUGUAACCCAGAGGCCUUCCAGAGCCAAAAUCAGCCACAUCUUUUAGAGUCUUUUUUCUCAUAUCAAGUGCAAUCACCAAUGCCUUGUCCUCAUCGGGAUCAGGUGUGUGCAUGAUGUAAACAACAUCAGCAUCAUGCAAGCUCAGAGCAGGGUAACCCGCACAGUCUCUCAUCAAGGUUAGCUUUGUAUUUUUAACCUGUUUCAGAUUAGGCAGCAUCAGCAUUCGAGCAAACUUGGGGCUGUCCACUGGGAUGUCAGAAAAUUUGAAAGUGCAGUCCUCUUCCCAGUUGUUCCCAGAACCAAUAUCUGAAAUUUUCAUUUUCUUAGUUGCAGCCACCAAACCUUGAGUUGCAGAGGUGAGUCCAGAGCAUGGUCUGACGUCGUAGCUCAUCUCGAAAUACUUGAUGCAAUCUCCAACAACAACAAUGUCCCGGAAAUACUUCUGAUAACCCUUGAGCGGCUUGGGCACCAGUGGCAAUGGUAAUGGAAUAUAGCGAAUACUAUGGUUGUCCCGGAGAAGGUCACAGAUAAGCAUGCCCCGCCAGAGAUCGACCCAGCCCACUGAACCGAACUCACCUCCGAUGGUGACCGCAAUGUUUGGAUAUAAAUAAUUCACAUAAUUCACUGAAUCAACAAACUGAUGCUCAGUGUUCCAUGUACCUGUCUUAGAGUUGUACAGGUGGAGAUCAAAUCGCUUCCCGUUGUUCUCAGGAUCGAUGAUCCUAUGAAGCAGGGCGAAGUAGAACAUAUCUUGGUCGCGGCAACGCAAAAGCACAAGCUCGUGGUAGGAGAACGGGAAGUCGAGCGGGAUGGGUAACAUCUUAAGUGACGGCCGGUUGUUCUCGGUGCCGGCCUGGUAGACGAAGUAGUGGCAGCUCUCAGCGUCGAGGCUGUCGUCCUGACGGAGGAUGGGGAUGCGGAGCAGGACGAGGUCGUCCUCCGAGUAGAUGACCGUGGGCAACUUGUAGAACGCGGAGGGCUUCACGUCGGGGCAAUGGACAGUGAAGCAGGAGACCCGCGGCGGGCUGGCCGCCCAGAAGGUGACCUGGAUUCUCUUGCCGUCCGCCGUGAAGCCAUCGGCGGUAGUGCCGUUGAGGCGACAGCUGAGGUAGCCGUAUCGGUCGAGGAGGAUCGACUCAGGAGGAGGAGAACCCGGAUCCUCGGUGUGGAUAAGCGGAGGGAUCCUGAGGAACGGAUGGACGGACGAGUCGGCCAUGGGAAGAUCUGGUGUGUGGGCGGAGCGGGGAGAGUCGACGCGGAGGUGAGGAGGGUAUCGGAUCUGAGCGGCGGCUUGGCUGCCGAAAUAGAGAUU
rnacentral:lncRNA from 1 species